rnacentral:lncRNA from 1 species
GGCAGCAGUGCGGUAUGGACACGCCAAGUUUGCACAGUGGUGUUGGCAGCUGCAGCACAUCCACCUUCACGUUGGCACCGUGACACGUGAUGUUAUCCCUAGGUAAUGGAGACCUCGCUCAGGGCUACCUCCAUCUGUGAAAGCAUCAUCCUGAUCUGAAGGCUCGGAAAAUCCCUCUGAAGAGAUAAGGGAGAGGGUCUUGCAGGGCUGGCUGCCAGGCUGGUCAGGCAGCAGGAGGAACGCCUCAUUUCCCAGCUCCCAGGAGCUACCUGAGCAAGCACCUGCAGCCAAGGAGUCUUCAGCUAGAAAACAUCCAUCAAAAUGACAUCUGGGAUUCUUAUUCUGUUCGUAAAGCCCACCUGAUCUGGAGUUAGUGAUAACAGUGGCAUACUUAAUGUUGGACUGACUUGCUGUUUCUCCAGAGGUCGGGUCACU